UACGAAGGGUGCAAACGUUGCUCGGAAUCAUUGGGCGUAAAGCGCACGUAGGCGGCUUCGCAAGUCGGAUGUGAAAUCCCGUGGCUCAACCAUGGACGUGCAUCCGAAACUGUGAGGCUUGAGUAUGGAAGAGGGUCGCGGAAUUCCCGGUGUAGAGGUGAAAUUCGUAGAUAUUCGGAGGAACACCAGUGGCGAAGGCGGCUCACUGGUCCGGUACUGACGCUGAGGUGCGAAAGCGUGGGGAGCAAACAGG
rnacentral:rRNA from 1 species